AAGCUGCCAAGGGAAAGGUCAAGGUAACAGUGGAAACAGUGACCCUGCAAGUGAAUAAAGACAAGGAAAAUGUGCAGGGGAAAACCGCCAAAGUAGAGCAAACACUCUUCCAGAAAAAGGAGCAGAAGAAGGGGUCUGAAGCCAAAGACACUGACGCUAAACCCAAAGUGGCUACUAAUGCUAAAGCAGGUCUUGUUAAAACAGAAUCAAAACAAGAAGCUUCUGUUAAGAAAAUAACUGUUAAAGACUCUUCAAGCGCCAAAAAGAUCAGUCGUCCAACUGUUGCUCAAGUUCUGUUGAAACAUGAGGGAAGAAAGCAAGAAGAGGCCCGGAAAGGCAAAACAACAGUCAUGACCUCUAAAAAGGUCCUCCAAAAAAAUGAUGUCAAACUUGUUAAGGAAACAAUUACCAGUAAAACAUAUCCCAAAUCUGACCAACUAAAAGAUGAACCUCAAACCAAUGUGACCCAAAGUAACGUGAAGAAAUCUAAUGGCACAGCUAAAAUUGUGACAGUUCUGUCAAAGGUCAUGGGAACAAACAAAACCAGAGCAGGAAAGACCAUUGAGCAGUCCACACUGGCUGAGAAGAACGUCACUCAGUCAUCUGGACAGAAACAAAUCAAGAAGGUCAAAGUAGACAAUACAAAUGUGCAAUCUGUUGACAGCAGAAACACUGAAGCUGGAAAGACUGGAAAAGAGAAACAGAGGAGUCAGUAUUUAGUGAAUGCAACCAUUGCAGCAACGUCAGGCGAGGCUCGAGUUCUGCAGAACAAAACAACUAUCCAUGGCUCUGGGAGUGCAAAGAGGAUGGGAGGGUCUGGAUUAGGUUCUGUAAAAGUUGUAAACAUCUCUUCCUACAGCUUCACUGUCACAUGGUCAGCUCCACAAGGGAUGUUCAAGAACUUCACUGUGAUCAGAAGAGAACCACGGACAGGGGAUGACGAAGACGACCACGAGGAGUUCGAAGAGGAAGCUCUUGAAGGGGACAAGACCUCCACAGCUAAGAACACAACUGUGGUCCAGGUACAGAGCGAGAGCACCAACACAACUGUCACCUCUGGUAAAGCUGUAGCAUCUAGAGGCAAAGCUGAAACCAAGAGGAUCUCCAUGGUAGUCCCUGGCAGCGUACGCUCUGUGGAGUUCAGUAACCUUCGGGCAAACACAGGCUAUGUCCUGCACAUUUAUGGUGCUGCAGCUGAGAGAAGAUCAAAGAUUCACAGAGUAACUGCAAUUACAGGUCCUGAGCCAGCCACAGAGAUGGUUUUCAGCAAUGUAACAGAGUCUUCUUUCACUGUUUCCUGGUCCAAACCAAAGACCCCAUUCACAGGCUUCAGGGUCACAUAUACCAACAUUAUCACAGGUCUGUCAAAGGCUUUGCAUAAUGCAUCUCAGGUCAAAAUCCUCUUGUUUAAUAUCAGUCAGUGUAAUAUUUGUGAUGUGUCAUCCUGCUAG
rnacentral:lncRNA from 1 species